UACGUAGGGGGCAAGCGUUGUUCGGAAUUACUGGGCGUAAAGGGCGCGUAGGCGGCCUGGCAAGUCAGGAGUGAAAGGCCUGGGCUCAACCGAGGAACUGCUUUUGAUACUGCCAAGCUAGAGUGCGGAAGGGGCAACUGGAAUUCCCAGUGUAGCGGUGAAAUGCGUAGAUAUUGGGAAGAACACCUGAGGCGAAGGCGGGUUGCUGGGCCGACACUGACGCUCAUGCACGAAAGCGUGGGGAGCAAACAGG
rnacentral:rRNA from 1 species